rnacentral:rRNA from 1 species
UUUAUCAGAGAGUUUGAUCCUGGCUCAGGAUGAACGCUGGCGGCGUGCUUAACACAUGCAAGUCGAACGGGAAACCUUUUAUUGAAGCUUCGGCAGAUUUAGCUGGUUUCUAGUGGCGGACGGGUGAGUAACGCGUGGGUAACCUGCCCUAUACAGGGGGAUAACAACCAGAAAUGGUUGCUAAUACCGCAUAAGCGCACAGGACCGCAUGGUCCGGUGUGAAA